UACGGAAGGGGCUAGCGUUGUUCGGAAUUACUGGGCGUAAAGCGCGCGUAGGCGGCUUUUCAAGUGAGGCGUGAAAGUCCUGGGCUCAACCUGGGGACGGCGCUUCAGACUGUCUGGCUAGAGUCCGGAAGAGGGUGGUGGAAUUCCGAGUGUAGAGGUGAAAUUCGUAGAUAUUCGGAGGAACACCGGUGGCGAAGGCGGCCACCUGGUCCGGUACUGACGCUCAAGUGCGAAAGCGUGGGGAGCAAACAGGAUUAGAUACCCUGGUAGUCCACGCUGUAAACGAUGGGUGCUAGAUGUCGGGGGGCUUGCUCUUCGGUGUCGUAGCUAACGCGUUAAGCACCCCGCCUGGGGAGUACGGCCGCAAGGUUAAA
rnacentral:rRNA from 1 species